GGAUUAGAUACCCUGGUAGUCCACGCCGUAAACGAUGUCAACUAGCCGUUGGGGGACUUGAUCCUUUAGUGGCGCAGCAAACGCAAUAAGUUGACCGCCUGGGGAGUACGGCCGCAAGGUUAAAACUCAAAUGAAUUGACGGGGGCCCGCACAAGCGGUGGAGCAUGUGGUUUAAUUCGAUGCAACGCGAAGAACCUUACCAGGCCUUGACAUCCUUGGAAUCUUUGAGAGAUCGAAGAGUGCCUUCGGGAAUCAAGUGACAGGUGCUGCAUGGCUGUCGUCAGCUCGUGCCG
rnacentral:rRNA from 1 species